GUGCACGCUGGCGGUAGGCCUAACCCAUGCAAGUCGAACGGCAGCACAGUAAGAGCUUGCUCUUACGGGUGGCGAGUGGCGGACGGGUGAGGAAUACAUCAGAAUCUACUUUUUCGUGGGGGAUAACGUAGGGAAACUUACGCUAAUACCGCAUACGACCUACGGGUGAAAGCAGGGGAUCUUCGGACCUUGCGCGAUUGAAUGAGCCGAUGUCGGAUUAGCUAGUUGGCGGGGUAAAGGCCCACCAAGGCGACGAUCCGUAGCUGGUCUGAGAGGAUGAUCAGCCACACUGGAACUGAGACACGGUCCAGACUCCUACGGGAGGCAGCAGUGGGGAAUAUUGGACAAUGGGCGCAAGCCUGAUCCAGCCAUACCGCGUGGGUGAAGAAGGCCUUCGGGUUGUAAAGCCCUUUUGUUGGGAAAGAAAAGCAGCAGGUUAAUACCCCGCUGUUCUGACGGUACCCAAAGAAUAAGCACCGGCUAACUUCGUG
rnacentral:rRNA from 1 species